rnacentral:rRNA from 1 species
CCUACGGGUGGCAGCAGUGGGGAAUAUUGGACAAUGGGCGAAAGCCUGAUCCAGCCAUGCCGCGUGUGUGAAGAAGGCCUUCGGGUUGUAAAGCACUUUCAGUGGGGAAGAAAGCCUUGGGGCUAAUACCCUCGAGGAAGGACAUCACCCACAGAAGAAGCACCGGCUAACUCCGUGCCAGCAGCCGCGGUAAUACGGAGGGUGCGAGCGUUAAUCGGAAUUACUGGGCGUAAAGCGCGCGUAGGCGGUCUGAUAAGCCGGUUGUGAAAGCCCCGGGCUCAACCUGGGAACGGCAUCCGGAACUGGAAGGCUAGAGUGCAGGAGAGGAAGGUAGAAUUCCCGGUGUAGCGGUGAAAUGCGUAGAGAUCGGGAGGAAUACCAGUGGCGAAGGCGGCCUUCUGGACUGACACUGACGCUGAGGUGCGAAAGCGUGGGUAGCAAACAGGAUUAGAUACCCCAGUAGUC